GUGGGGAAUUUUGGACAAUGGGGGAAACCCUGAUCCAGCCAUGCCGCGUGCAGGAUGAAGGCCUUCGGGUUGUAAACUGCUUUUGUACGGAACGAAAAGGUCCUUUCUAAUAAAGAGGGCUCAUGACGGUACCGUAAGAAUAAGCACCGGCUAACUACGUGCCAGCAGCCGCGGUAAUACGUAGGGUGCGAGCGUUAAUCGGAAUUACUGGGCGUAAAGCGUGCGCAGGCGGUUAUAUAAGACAGAUGUGAAAUCCCCGGGCUCAACCUGGGAACUGCAUUAGUGACUGUAUAGCUGGAGUGCGGCAGAGGGGGAUGGAAUUCCGCGUGUAGCAGUGAAAUGCGUAGAUAUGCGGAGGAACACCGAUGGCGAAGGCAAUCCCCUGGGCCUGCACUGACGCUCAUGCACGAAAGCGUGGGGAGCAAACAGGAUUAGAUACCCUGGUAGUCCACGCCCUAAACGAUGUCAACUGGUUGUUGGGAAUUCACUUUCUCAGUAACGAAGCUAACGCGUGAAGUUGACCGCCUGGGGAGUACGGCCGCAAGGUUAAAACUCAAAGGAAUUGACGGGGACCCGCACAAGCGGUGGAUGAUGUGGUUUAAUUCGAUGCAACGCGAAAAACCUUACCCACCUUUGACAUGUAUGGAAGAUCGCAGAGACGCGAUUGUGCUCGAAAGAGAGCCAUAACACAGGUGCUGCAUGGCUGUCGUCAGCUCGUGUCGUGAGAUGUUGGGUUAAGUCCCGCAACGAGCGCAACCCUUGUCAUUAGUUGCUACAUUCAGUUGGGCACUCUAAUGAGACUGCCGGUGACAAACCGGAGGAAGGUGGGGAUGACGUCAAGUCCUCAUGGCCCUUAUAGGUGGGGCUACACACGUCAUACAAUGGCUGGUACAAAGGGUUGCCAACCCGCGAGGGGGAGCUAAUCCCAUAAAGCCAGUCGUAGUCCGGAUCGUAGUCUGCAACUCGACUACGUGAAGUCGGAAUCGCUAGUAAUCGUGGAUCAGAAUGUCACGGUGAAUACGUUCCCGGGUCUUGUACACACCGCCCGUCACACCAUGGGAGCGGGUUCUGCCAGAAGUAGGUAGCCUAACCGUAAGGAGGGCGCUUACCACGGCAGGGUUCGUGACUGGGGUG
rnacentral:rRNA from 1 species